UAUCAAAAACAUUGCUUCUAGGGAAAGUUGGAGGUACGGCCUGCCCACUGAAUCGUUAAAGGGCUGCGGUAAUUUGACCGUACAAAGGUAGCAUAAUCAUUAGUUUUUUAAUUGAAGACUGGAAUGAAAGGCUUAAUGAAACACUUGCUGUCUCAAAUUUUUAGAUUUAAGUUUACAUUUUAGUGAAAAGGCUAAAAUGAACUUGGAGGACGAGAAGACCCUAUAGAUCUUUAUAGUUUUAGGAGGUAAAUUUUGAGAAUGUUAAAAAUUAAUUUGAUAACUAUUUUAUUGGGGAGAUAGAAAAAUAAAUAAACUUUUAGUAAUUAAACUUAAUUUGUGAACCAAGGAUCCUAGUUUGAUUAGAAAAUUAAGUUACCUUAGGGAUAACAGCGUAAUCAAACCGGAGAGUCCAAAUUGAUGGUUUGGUUUGCGACCUCGAUGUUGGACUAGAAAAAUUUUUGGCGCAGCAGUUAAAAAGAUAGGUCUGUUCGACCAUUAAAUUUCUACAUGAUCUGAGUUCAAACC
rnacentral:rRNA from 1 species